rnacentral:rRNA from 1 species
GAUGAACGCUGGCGGCGUGCCUAAUACAUGCAAGUCGAGCGAACGGACGAGAAGCUUGCUUCUCUGAUGUUAGCGGCGGACGGGUGAGUAACACGUGGAUAACCUACCUAUAAGACUGGGAUAACUUCGGGAAACCGGAGCUAAUACCGGAUAAUAUUUUGAACCGCAUGGUUCAAAAGUGAAAGACGGUCUUGCUGUCACUUAUAGAUGGAUCCGCGCUGCAUUAGCUAGUUGGUAAGGUAACGGCUUACCAAGGCAACGAUGCAUAGCCGACCUGCGAGGGUGAUCGGCCACACUGGAACUGAGACACGGUCCAGACUCCUACGGGAGGCAGCAGUAGGGAAUCUUCCGCAAUGGGCGAAAGCCUGACGGAGCAACGCCGCGUGAGUGAUGAAGGUCUUCGGAUCGUAAAACUCUGUUAUUAGGGAAGAACAUAUGUGUAAGUAACUGUGCACAUCUUGACGGUACCUAAUCAGAAAGCCACGGCUAACUACGCG